rnacentral:rRNA from 1 species
GACGAACGCUGGCGGCGUGCUUAACACAUGCAAGUCGAACGAAAAGAGGGAAAGAGCUUGCUCUUUCCGGAAUUGAGUGGCAAACGGGUGAGUAACACGUAAACAACCUGCCUUCAGGAUGGGGACAACAGACGGAAACGACUGCUAAUACCGAAUAAGUUCCAAGAGCCGCAUGGCCCAUGGAAGAAAAGGUGGCCUCUACCUGUAAGCUAUCGCCUGAAGAGGGGUUUGCGCCUGAUUAGCUGGUUGGAGGGGUAACGGCCCACCAAGGCGACGAUCAGUAGCCGGUCUGAGAGGAUGAACGGCCACACUGGAACUGAGACACGGUCCAGACUCCUACGGGAGGCAGCAGUGGGGAAUCUUCCGCAAUGGGCGAAAGCCUGACGGAGCAACGCCGCGUGAGUGAUGACGGCCUUCGGGUUGUAAAACUCUGUGAUCCGGGACGAAAAGGCAGAGUGCGAAGAACAAACUGCAUUGACGGUACCGGAAAAGCAAGCCACGGCUAACUACGUG